rnacentral:rRNA from 1 species
UACAGAGGUCCCGAGCGUUGUUCGGAUUCAUUGGGCGUAAAGGGUGUGUAGGUGGCGCCGUAAGUCGGGUGUGAAAUCUCGGGGCUUAACUCCGAAACUGCAUUCGAUACUGCGGUGCUUGAGGACUGGAGAGGAGACUGGAAUAGUCGGUGUAGCGGUGAAAUGCGUAGAGAUCGACUAGAACACCGGUGGCGAAGGCGGGUCUCUGGACAGUUCCUAACGCUCAUGCACGAAAGCCAGGGGAGCAAACGGG